AACGUAGGACACAAGCGUUAUCCGGAGUUACUGGGCGUAAAGGGCGUGUAGGCGGAUCGGUAAGUCUACUCUGAAAGCUCCUGGCUAGACUGGGAGAGGCGAGUGGAGACUGUCGGUCUAGAGUGAGGAAGAGGAAAGUGGAAUUCCGCGUGUAGUGGUGAAAUGCGUAGAGAUGCGGAGGAACACCAGUGGCGAAAGCGGCUUUCUGGUCCUUAACUGACGCUGAGGCGCGAAAGCAUGGGGAGCGAACGGG
rnacentral:rRNA from 1 species